rnacentral:rRNA from 1 species
AAUGAACGCUGGCGGCAGGCCUAACACAUGCAAGGUCGAACGGGUCCUUCGGGACUAGUGGCGGACGGGUGAGUAACGCGUGGGAACAUACCCAAAGGUACGGAAUAGCCUCGGGAAACUGAGAGUAAUACCGUAUGUGCCCUUCGGGGGAAAGAUUUAUCGCCUUUGGAUUGGCCCGCGUUGGAUUAGGUAGUUGGUGGGGUAAUGGCCUACCAAGCCGACGAUCCAUAGCUGGUUUGAGAGGAUGAUCAGCCACACUGGGACUGAGACACGGCCCAGACUCCUACGGGAGGCAGCAGUGGGGAAUCUUAGACAAUGGGGGAAACCCUGAUCUAGCCAUGCCGCGUGAUCGAUGAAGGCCUUAGGGUUGUAAAGAUCUUUCAGAUGGGAAGAUAAUGACGGUACCAUCAGAAGAAGCCCCGGCUAACUCCGUG